GAUGAAGAACGUAGCGAAAUGCGAUAAGUAGUGUGAAUUGCAGAAUUCAGUGAGUCAUCGAAUCUUUGAACGCACAUUGCGCCCCUUGGUAUCCCGAGGGGCAUGCCUGUUCGAGCGUCAUUUCACCACUCAAGCCUGGCUUGGUGUUGGGCGACGUCCUCUUUGGGGACGCGCCUCGAAACGCUCGGCGGCGUGGCACCGGCUUUAAGCGUAGCAGAAUCUUUCGCUUUGGAAGUCGGGGCCCCGUCUGCCGGAAGACCUGCUCGCAAGGUUGACCUCGGAUCAGGCAGGGAUACCCGCUGAACUUAAGCAUAUCAAUAAGCGGAGGA
rnacentral:misc_RNA from 1 species